rnacentral:rRNA from 1 species
GACGAACGCUGGCGGCGUGCCUAAUACAUGCCAGUCGAACGCUGAAGGAGGAGCUUGCUCUUCUGGAUGAGUUGCGAACGGGUGAGUAACGCGUAGGUAACCUGCCUGGUAGCGGGGGAUAACUAUUGGAAACGAUAGCUAAUACCGCAUAAGAGUAGAUGUUGCAUGACAUUUGCUUAAAAGGUGCAAUUGCAUCACUACCAGAUGGACCUGCGUUGUAUUAGCUAGUUGGUGGGGUAACGGCUCACCAAGGCGACGAUACAUAGCCGACCUGAGAGGGUGAUCGGCCACACUGGGACUGAGACACGGCCCAGACUCCUACGGGAGGCAGCAGUAGGGAAUCUUCGGCAAUGGACGGAAGUCUGACCGAGCAACGCCGCGUGAGUGAAGAAGGUUUUCGGAUCGUAAAGCUCUGUUGUAAGAGAAGAACGAGUGUGAGAGUGGAAAGUUCACACUGUGACGGUAUCUUACCAGAAAGGGACGGCUAACUACGUG